rnacentral:ncRNA from 1 species
GGCCAAGAGAUUCGCCCACACGCCUCCGACGUGGGCGGACGGCAACCGCGCCACCCGGAACGGUGCCCUUCGGAGAAGGCCGGGGCUUGCGGCUAAUGCUGCCGCUGGUCAAGACGGGAGA